rnacentral:rRNA from 1 species
GAUGAACGCUGGCGGCGUGCCUAAUACAUGCAAGUCGAGCGAACGGACGAGAAGCUUGCUUCUCUGAUGUUAGCGGCGGACGGGUGAGUAACACGUGGAUAACCUACCUAUAAGACUGGGAUAACUUCGGGAAACCGGAGCUAAUACCGGAUAAUAUUUUGAACCGCAUGGUUCAAAAGUGAAAGACGGUCUUGCUGUCACUUAUAGAUGGAUCCGCGCUGCAUUAGCUAGUUGGUAAGGUAACGGCUUACCAAGGCAACGAUGCAUAGCCGACCUGAGAGGGUGAUCGGCCACACUGGAACUGAGACACGGUCCAGACUCCUACGGGAGGCAGCAGUAGGGAAUCUUCCGCAAUGGGCGAAAGCCUGACGGAGCAACGCCGCGUGAGUGAUGAAGGUCUUCGGAUCGUAAAACUCUGUUAUUAGGGAAGAACAUAUGUGUAAGUAACUGUGCACAUCUUGACGGUACCUAAUCAGAAAGCCACGGCUAACUACGUGCCAGCAGCCGCGGUAAUACGUAGGUGGCAAGCGUUAUCCGGAAUUAUUGGGCGUAAAGCGCGCGUAGGCGGUUUUUUAGGUCUGAUGUGAAAGCCCACGGCUCAACCGUGGAGGGUCAUUGGAAACUGGAAAACUUGAGUGCAGAAGAGGAAAGUGGAAUUCCAUGUGUAGCGGUGAAAUGCGCAGAGAUAUGGAGGAACACCAGUGGCGAAGGCGACUUUCUGGUCUGUAACUGACGCUGAUGUGCGAAAGCGUGGGGAUCAAACAGGAUUAGAUACCCUGGUAGUCCACGCCGUAAACGAUGAGUGCUAAGUGUUAGGGGGUUUCCGCCCCUUAGUGCUGCAGCUAACGCAUUAAGCACUCCGCCUGGGGAGUGCGACCGCAAGGUUGAAACUCAAAGGAAUUGACGGGGACCCGCACAAGCGGUGGAGCAUGUGGUUUAAUUCGAAGCAACGCGAAGAACCUUACCAAAUCUUGACAUCCUUUGACAACUCUAGAGAUAGAGCUUUCCCCUUCGGGGGACAAAGUGACAGGUGGUGCAUGGUUGUCGUCAGCUCGUGUCGUGAGAUGUUGGGUUAAGUCCCGCAACGAGCGCAACCCUUAAGCUUAGUUGCCAUCAUUAAGUUGGGCACUCUAAGUUGACUGCCGGUGACAAACCGGAGGAAGGUGGGGAUGACGUCAAAUCAUCAUGCCCCUUAUGAUUUGGGCUACACACGUGCUACAAUGGACAAUACAAAGGGCAGCGAAACCGCGAGGUCAAGCAAAUCCCAUAAAGUUGUUCUCAGUUCGGAUUGUAGUCUGCAACUCGACUACAUGAAGCUGGAAUCGCUAGUAAUCGUAGAUCAGCAUGCUACGGUGAAUACGUUCCCGGGUCU